rnacentral:rRNA from 1 species
AACCGUGUACGUACAAGCAGUGGGAGCACCCUUCGGGGUGUGACUGCGUACCUUUUGUAUAAUGGGUCAGCGACUUAUAUUCUGUAGCAAGGUUAACCGUAUAGGGGAGCCGGAGGGAAACCGAGUCUUAAUUGGGCGUUAAGUUGCAGGGUAUAGACCCGAAACCCGGUGAUCUAGCCAUGGGCAGGUUGAAGGUUGGGUAACACUAACUGGAGGACCGAACCGACUAAUGUUGAAAAAUUAGCGGAUGACCUGUGGCUGGGGGUGAAAGGCCAAUCAAACCGGGAGAUAGCUGGUUCUCCCCGAAAGCUAUUUAGGUAGCGCCUCGUGAAUUCAUCUCCGGGGGUAGAGCACUGUUUCGGCUAGGGGGCCAUCCCGGCUUACCAACCCGAUGCAAACUGCGAAUACCGGAGAAUGUUAUCACGGGAGACACACGGCGGGUGCUAACGUCCGUCGUGAAGAGGGAAACAACCCAGACCGCCAGCUAAGGUCCCAAAGUCAUGGUUAAGUGGGAAACGAUGUGGGAAGGCCCAGACAGCCAGGAUGUUGGCUUAGAAGCAGCCAUCAUUUAAAGAAAGCGUAAUAGCUCACUGGUCGAGUCGGCCUGCGCGGAAGAUGUAACGGGGCUAAACCAUGCACCGAAGCUGCGGCAGCGAACGUAUCACCCAAGACAACUUUACGGAGUUGACGAUUGACGGAGCGAAGCGACGUCAAAGCGUUCAUUAAAGUCGAGUUGGCUUAGGGAUACGUUCGUUGGGUAGGGGAGCGUUCUGUAAGCCUGUGAAGGUGUGUCGUGAGGCAUGCUGGAGGUAUCAGAAGUGCGAAUGCUGACAUAAGUAACGAUAAAGCGGGUGAAAAGCCCGCUCGCCGGAAGACCAAGGGUUCCUGUCCAACGUUAAUCGGGGCAGGGUGAGUCGACCCCUAAGGCGAGGCCGAAAGGCGUAGUCGAUGGGAAACGGGUUAAUAUUCCCGUACUUGGUGUUACUGCGAAGGGGGGACGGAGAAGGCUAUGUUGGCCGGGCGACGGUUGUCCCGGUUUAAGCGUGUAGGUGUGUGUUCCAGGUAAAUCCGGUUCACUUUAACACUGAGGCGUGACGACGAGGCACUACGGUGCUGAAGCAACAAAUGCCCUGCUUCCAGGAAAAGCCUCUAAGCAUCAGGUAACACGAAAUCGUACCCCAAACCGACACAGGUGGUCAGGUAGAGAAUACCAAGGCGCUUGAGAGAACUCGGGUGAAGGAACUAGGCAAAAUGGUGCCGUAACUUCGGGAGAAGGCACGCUGACAC